rnacentral:rRNA from 1 species
UGGGGUAAUGGCUCACCAAGGCGACGAUCCCUAGCUGGUCUGAGAGGAUGAUCAGCCACACUGUGAACUGAGACACGGUCCAGACUCCUACGGGAGGCAGCAGUGGGGAAUAUUGCACAAUGGGGGAAACCCUGAUGCAGCCAUGCCGCGUGUGUGAAGAAGGCCUUCGGGUUGUAAAGCACUUUCAGCGAGGAGGAAAGGUUGGCGCCUAAUACGUGUCAACUGUGACGUUACUCGCAGAANAAGCACCGGCUAACUCCGUGCCAGCAGCCGCGGUAAUACGGAGGGUGCAAGCGUUAAUCGGAAUUACUGGGCGUAAAGCGCACGCAGGCGGUUGGAAAANUUAGAUGUGAAAGCCCCGGGCUCAACCUGGGAAUUGCAUUUAAAACUGUCCAGCUAGAGUCUUGUAGAGGGGGGUAGAAUUCCAGGUGUAGCGGUGAAAUGCGUANAGAUCUGGAGGAAUACCGGUGGCGAAGGCGGCCCCCUGGACAAAGACUGACGCUCAGGUGCGAAAGCGUGGGGAGCAAACAGGAUUANAUACCCUGGUANUCCACGCCGUAAACGAUGUCNAUUUNGA